UGCCCUUAACAUGCAGUCGAACGGCAGCGCGGGCUUCGGCCUGGCGGCGAGUGGCGAACGGGUGAGUAAUACAUCGGAACGUGCCCUGUUGUGGGGGAUAACUAGUCGAAAGAUUAGCUAAUACCGCAUACGACCUGAGGGUGAAAGCGGGGGACCGUAAGGCCUCGCGCAAUAGGAGCGGCCGAUGUCUGAUUAGCUAGUUGGUGGGGUAAAGGCCUACCAAGGCGACGAUCAGUAGCUGGUCUGAGAGGACGAUCAGCCACACUGGGACUGAGACACGGCCCAGACUCCUACGGGAGGCAGCAGUGGGGAAUUUUGGACAAUGGGGGCAACCCUGAUCCAGCAAUGCCGCGUGUGUGAAGAAGGCCUUCGGGUUGUAAAGCACUUUUGUCCGGAAAGAAAUCGCGCUGGCUAAUACCUGGCGUGGAUGACGGUACCGGAAGAAUAAGCACCGGCUAACUACGUGCCAGCAGCCGCGGUAAUACGUACGGUGCUUUUGUCAAUCG
rnacentral:rRNA from 1 species